UGCGCAGGCGGGUUUGUAAGUCAGAGGUGAAAUCCCACGGCCUAACCGUGGAACUGCCUUUGAUACUGCAAAUCUUGAGUCCUGGAGAGGUCACUGGAAUUCGUGGUGUAGCGGUGAAAUGCGUAGAUAUCACGAGGAACGCCGGAGGUGUAGACGAGUGACUGGACAGGUACUGACGCUGAGGCACGAAAGCGUGGGGAGCAAACAGGAUUAGAUACCCUGGUAGUCC
rnacentral:rRNA from 1 species